rnacentral:misc_RNA from 1 species
GAUGAAGAACGCAGCGAAAUGCGAUAAGUAAUGUGAAUUGCAGAAUUCAGUGAAUCAUCGAAUCUUUGAACGCACAUUGCGCCCCUUGGUAUUCCGAGGGGCAUGCCUGUUCGAGCGUCAUUAUAACCCCUCAAGCUCAGCUUGGUGUUGGGGCCUGCUGCACUGGCAGCCCUUAAAAUCAGUGGCGGCGCCAUCUGGCUCUAAGCGUAGUAAUUCUUCUCGCUAUGGAGUCCUGGUGGAUGCUUGCCAUCAACCCCCAAUUUUUCUAUGGUUGACCUCGGAUCAGGUAGGACUACCCGCUGAACUUAAGCAUAUCAAUAAGCGGAGGA